rnacentral:rRNA from 1 species
GUAGGUGGCAAGCGUUGUCCGGAUUUAUUGGGUUUAAAGGGUGCGUAGGCGGCCCUGUAAGUCAGUGGUGAAAUACGGCAGCUCAACUGUCGAGGUGCCAUUGAUACUGCGGGGCUUGAGUGUUGAUGAGGUAGGCGGAAUUGACGGUGUAGCGGUGAAAUGCUUAGAUAUCGUCAAGAACACCGAUAGCGAAGGCAGCUUACCAAGCAAUAACUGACGCUGAGGCACGAAAGUGCGGGGAUCAAACAGGAUUAGAUACCCUGGUAGUCCGCACAGUAAACGAUGAUUACUCGAUGUUGGCGAUACACAGCCAGCGUCUUAGCGAAAGCGAUAAGUAAUCCACCUGGGGAGUACGCCCGCAAGGGUG